UACGGGGGGCGCAAGCGUUGUUCGGAUUUACUGGGCGUAAAGGGCGCGUAGGCGGCCAGCACAAGUCAGUUGUGAAAUCUCCGGGCUUAACUCGGAAAGGUCAACUGAUACUGUGCGGCUAGAGUGCAGAAGGGGCAACUGGAAUUCUCGGUGUAGCGGUGAAAUGCGUAGAUAUCGAGAGGAACACCUGCGGCGAAGGCGGGUUGCUGGGCUGACACUGACGCUGAUGCGCGAAAGCCAGGGGAGCGAACGGG
rnacentral:rRNA from 1 species